GAUGGUAGUGUAUUGGACUACCAUGGCAGUCACGGGUAACGGGGAAUUAGGGUUCGGUUCCGGAGAGGGAGCCUGAGAAACGGCUACCACAUCUAAGGAAGGCAGCAGGCGCGUAAAUUACCCAAUCCUGAUUCAGGGAGGUAGUGACAAGAAAUAACAACCUGGGGGACUUUGUCCUUACGGGAUUGCAAUGAGAACAAUUUAAAUGACUUAUCGAGGAACAAUUGGAGGGCAAGUCUGGUGCCAGCAGCCGCGGUAAUA
rnacentral:rRNA from 1 species